UUUGCCUAUGCAUGAAGGAAAUUGCUCACAAGUAUGGUAAAUAGCUGAGAAGUAUACCAUAUAUGCAAAGACAUGCAGCUGAGAGAGAAGCUAUUUAGAGAUAGAAGCUGUCUCAGAGAGCCUACAAAUCAUUAGGGAUCCACAGUAUAAUUUAUAGUAGGGUUUAUAUGUCAUUUAUCAUGAGAGACUCUAAAAGUGACUAAUAGAAUUCAAACUCGAGAUGAGGUGCAUUAAAAGUGGAAUCAUGAGCUCAUCCUUCGGGGGGCUUAACAGUAUUAUCGUAUCUCUUUCUUUAGUGUAAUUUUAGUACUGCCCAAG
rnacentral:misc_RNA from 1 species